AGACGGAAGAUGGGGUAUAAUUCUAGCAGGACCACAGGUCAGAAGGGUAAGGAAACAAAAAUGAUAAAGAAAUAUCAAAAAUCAUAUUUUUAAAAAAGUAUCACCAACAUUCUUGGAAUUCUUCAAAGCUGUGCACUAAGUCAACAAGAAUAGUUUAGCAUCAGGCCACAUUGUCUAGAUCAUUGGUGGCGAACCUAUGGCACGGGUGCCAGAAGCGGCACUCGCCCCCCCCGGAGGAGAGUUGCCCCGGGCGGAGCAACACAGCCAAGGACAUGGCAGCCGGGCAGCGGGGACAAGACUCCACCCUCGCAUCCCAUCGCAUUCAGAUGAUGGUGUGGGGCACAGAAAGAGGGCGUGGCCACUAUGAUGCUGCUGGGCCACCUGGCGAUCUGCUGUGGCGGGCCGUGGAGAUGGUGGGUGGCCCUGUGGGCAGGAGAUGUGGGGACGGGGCAGGGGCGAGGCGGUUUUUGGGCACUCAGUCUCUAAAAGGUUCGCCAUCACUGGUCUAGACCUUCUCCAUAAAACUGGCAGUAGGAAAAAUAUUUUGCAGGCAGAUCAGGUUAGUAAAGCAAGAGAAAGCAAAGCUCUCUCCUUCUCCCCUCUCUAUUUCAUUUACAGUCCCUGCUCAAUCAAGCAGUGUUUGGUGUGGUUGCCUAGUAAACUACCCUGGGAUCUGACCAUUAGGGGACUGACUUGAUCCUGGGCUUGGUGCUUUUGCUAGGAAGCGGCUGAGAAACAAACCGCCAUUUCUUUCUAUUGAUUCUACCCUCAGCAACGCUGGUUUUGGGACUGGGAAGUAUCUGCCUACUGCCCAUCGUUGAAACUCAAGCAACAGGACUGAUAGCAAGACAGCACAGAAUCAGCCGUAGAAUGUGCUGCAAGAACCACUGGGACAAUAUCCUAAGAUUUAGUCUAUCUUGUGCACUCAACGGGGAACAAGGAACAGGGCGCCAGAGGAAUACCUUCCAUCAGCAACUCCAAUGUUUCUUGAGCCACAGGGAAACCCCACCAUUUUACUUACUUUUGGUAAGGCAAGUACAAAAGAUUUUUCCAAAAAUUCUUUGGCAUAGAAAGUGGAUCUGGAAUGCAACUGUAACUCUUUGCUUUUGGAUUUUCUUUUAUUUAAGAAUUUUUUUAAUGCUGUCUUUAUUGUUUUUAUAGAUAACUCAAGGUGGCAAAUACACACUGUACUUCCUCAUCCUAUUUUCCCCAUAACAACAACCUUCUGAGGUGGGAUGGGCCAAGAGAGAGUGGCCAGCCAAAAAUCACCUGGCUGGCUUUCAUGCCUAAACUCUUGAUUUCUUGGUUUCUAGCCUGGCGAUUAACUAGAUCAAACUGGCUCUCCUUGUACUAUUAUUGUAAAUCAUUCUGAGUCCUUGGAGGUAGUGAGGCAUAUAAAGUUUCAUAAUAAAUGUUUAAAUAAAGCAGCCACUAAGAAUAGCAAAUGACAAGUGGAAAUUUGGUUGUCAAGCAAAGCCAUCAACAAUAUCAUACUGCAGUUCUAAAACUGAAGUUGUUUCAGCUCAUGUAUUAAAAUUUACAAUGUGGAAAGAAA